UCAAUACAAGUUGGAUGGGUGUCAC
rnacentral:piRNA from 1 species